GACGAACGCUGGCGGCGUGCCUAAUACAUGCAAGUUGAGCGCUGAAGGUUGGUACUUGUACCAACUGGAUGAGCAGCGAACGGGUGAGUAACGCGUGGAGAAUCUGCCUUUGAGCGGGGGACAACAUUUGGAAACGAAUGCUAGUACCGCAUAAAAACUUUAAACACAAGUUUUAAGUUUGAAAGAUGCAAUUGCAUCACUCAAAGAUGAUCCCGCGUUGUAUUAGCUAGUUGGUGAGGUAAAGGCUCACCAAGGCGAUGAUACAUAGCCGACCUGAGAGGGUGAUCGGCCACAUUGGGACUGAGACACGGCCCAAACUCCUACGGGAGGCAGCAGUAGGGAAUCUUCGGCAAUGGACGAAAGUCUGACCGAGCAACGCCGCGGGAGUGAAGAAGGUUUUCGGAUCGUAAAACUCUGUUGGUAGAGAAGAACGUUGGUGAGAGUGGAAAGCUCAUCAAGUGACGGUAACUACCCAGAAAGGGACGGCUAACUACGUG
rnacentral:rRNA from 1 species